rnacentral:rRNA from 1 species
AGGUUAAGUGAAUAAGGGCGCACGGUGGAUGCCUUGGCACUAGGAGCCGAUGAAGGACGGGCACUAACACCGAUAUGCUUUGGGGAGCUGUACGUAAGCUAUGAUCCAGAGAUUUCCGAAUGGGGGAACCAACAUCUUUAAUAGGAUGUUACGAUGUGUGAAUACAUAGCACAUUCGAGGUAGACGCAGAACUGAAACAUCUAAGGUACC